AGAGUUUGAUCAUGGCUCAGGAUGAACGCUGGCGGCGUGCCUAAUACAUGCAAGUCAAACGCUUUGUUUUUAAUUGAUAUGAAGAGCUUGCUCUGAUUUGAUUUUAUCUGACAAAGAGUGGCGAACGGGUGAGUAACACGUGGGUAACCUACCUCUUAGCAGGGGAUAACAUUUGGAAACAAGUGCUAAUACCGUAUAACACUAACAACCGCAUGGUUGUUAGUUGAAAGAUGGUUCUGCUAUCACUAAGAGAUGGACCCGCGGUGCAUUAGCUAGUUGGUAAGGUAAUGGCUUACCAAGGCGAUGAUGCGUAGCCGAGUCGAGAGACUGAUCGGCCACAAUGGGACUGAGACACGGCCCAUACUCCUACGGGAGGCAGCAGUAGGGAAUCUUCCACAAUGGGCGCAAGCCUGAUGGAGCAACGCCGCGUGUGUGAUGAAGGGUUUCGGCUCGUAAAACACUGUUAUAAGAGAAGAACGACAUUGAGAGUAACUGUUCAGUGUGUGACGGUAUCUUAUCAGAAAGGAACGGCUAAAUACGUGCCAGCAGCCGCGGUAAUACGUAUGUUCCAAGCGUUAUCCGGAUUUAUUGGGCGUAAAGCGAGCGCAGACGGUUAUUUAAGUCUGAAGUGAAAGCCCUCAGCUCAACUGAGGAAGGGCUUUGGAAACUGGAUAACUUGAGUGCAGUAGAGGAAAGUGGAACUCCAUGUGUAGCGGUGAAAUGCGUAGAUAUAUGGAAGAACACCGGUGGCGAAAGCGGCUUUCUGGACUGUAACUGACGUUGAGGCUCGAAAGUGUGGGUAGCAAACAGGAUUAGAUACCCUGGUAGUCCACACCGUAAACGAUGAGUGCUAGAUGUUCGAGGGUUUCCGCCCUUGAGUGUCGCAGCU
rnacentral:rRNA from 1 species